rnacentral:lncRNA from 7 species
GUCCUUCGUUAGAAGGACAUUCUCUAACUCGGUUAGGAUAAUCGAGUUGGAGUUUUAUCCAAAACCGAUUUGUAUGUUACGGUUAGAUCGCACCCUGAUCGGGGGCGCAUACCAAUCCAUGGUUGUGGUCCCUGGUCAUAAGAGACGCAAUAUAAACUGAGGCAGGGCCGACAUGAAAGCCAAUGCUCUCGUGCUUCUGAAAAACCCUAGCCACCACAUUUUCCACAGAGGGAUCCCAUCUUUCAAUGACUCUCAGUUACCGGAAACACCAUAGCUAUGGCGACAUCGGAGCCCAUGUCUCCUUUGUCACCAGUCUCCGUGGAAACUUCUACUACUAAUCAUGGACAUGACAUCAUCGAUGGACACAUGCAGGAGCCCCCCCCUCGACACCAACAAGAUGGAGGAAGAGCGCCAAUGCAGGAUGCGAUGGCGUUGGCAAAUGUAGCGCUCAUCUUAGGACAAGGUAUGAUGACAUGUGUUUCCCUUCCCUCUCAACCUAUCAGAUUAGAAUCAAAACUUGUUCAUCCUUAAGGUUGUAAUCAGGUUGGCAAAUUAGGGACCUCAGGCUGAUUCUAAGGUCUUAGAAAUUUUAUCAUCCUUUACCAUACUUGUAUCUAUAUUUUUUGUUUAUUAAUAUAUUUCAACUUU